UACGGGGGGGGCAAGCGUUGUUCGGAAUUACUGGGCGUAAAGGGCUCGUAGGCGGCCAACUAAGUCGGACGUGAAAUCCCCAGGCUCAACCUGGGAACUGCGUCCGAUACUGGAUGGCUUGAAUCCGGGAGAGGGAUGCAGAAUUCCAGGUGUAGCGGUGAAAUGCGUAGAUAUCGGGAGGAACACCAGUGGCGAAGGCGGCUUUCUGGCCUGUUCUUGACGCUGAGGCGCGAAAGCUAGGGUAGCAAACGGG
rnacentral:rRNA from 1 species